CGAACGCUGGCGGCGUGUCUAGUACAUGCAAGUCGAACGCUUCUUUCCUCCCGAGUGCUUGCACUCAAUUGGAAAGAGGAGUGGCGGACGGGUGAGUAACACGCGGGUAACCUACCCAUCAGAGGGGGAUAACACUUGGAAACAGGUGCUAAUACCGCAUAACAGUUUAUGCCGCAUGGCAUAAGAGUGAAAGGCGCUUUCGGGUGUCGCUGAUGGAUGGACCCGCGGUGCAUUAGCUAGUGGGUGAGGGUACCGGUUCACCAAGGCCACGAUGCAUAGCCGACCUGAGAGGGUGAUCGGCCACACUGGGACUGAGACACGGCCCAGACUCCUACGGGAGGCAGCAGUAGGGAAUCUUCGGCAAUGGACGAAAGUCUGACCGAGCAACGCCGCGUGAGUGAAGAAGGUUCACGGAUCGUAAAACUCUGUUGUUAGAGAAGAACAAGGACGUUAGUAACUGAACGUCCCCUGACGGUAUCUAACCAGAAAGCCACGGUAACUACGUGCACAGAAGCCGAGGUAAUACGUAGGUGGCAAGCGUUGUCCGGAUCUAUUGGGCGUAAC
rnacentral:rRNA from 1 species